ACAUCAGGAGGGACUAUUGCACUGGAAGAGAAGUUGGUCAAGGUGGACUCUGAGGUCCCUUUUGAUUCUGAGAUUCUGGCUGGUGCUGUUAAGAGGAAGGAGUCCUGCUUCUCCAUCAUGGCCUCCAGGGUCCUCUGAGUAGCUUUGGGGCUGCUGCAGGGGUUUAUGGUGGGGAAUAGUUGAGGAAGAGAGUGUUGGAAGACAGUGCUUGAGGUUAUGCAAAACAAGAGUGAAGACUUCUCCCUCUUUACAGAAGUGAGGAAGAUGGAUGAAGGCAUUUAGAGGGCUAGUUAUCUGCCACAGGGUACUUUUAGGAAAUAACUCAAAGCCUAGUUAUGGGGGAACAUUUCAGAAACAAGGAAAUAGUUCUAUUCUGCAGAGCACCGUGUGGUGCCCAUAGUCCUUGGGUGGAUUUCUCUGCACUGUCUGGGCUAGUGUUGUCUUUGUUAGCAGAUCUUGCUGCCUUGUACCGGGUCAUCUGUCCUCCCACAAGGGGGGACAGGGCAGGUGGAGAAUGAGAAGAACAGGGCAUUGUGGGAGAUGUCCAUGUCCCAGAAUCCUAUGGAAGGCCUCUUGUCAGUGGACCACCUGCCAAUGCCCACUUUACAGAGGAGGAAACAAGGGUCCAGAGAAGUCCAAUGACUUCCCCAGGGCUAUGCACAGAGCUCCAGGUCCCAGUCUCCUCACUGUCUGACGCUGUUUCUACCUUCACAUUUUCACCACGCAGCAAGCUGACAGAUGCCAGAGGACACAGCAUUCCAAACACCAUUCGGAUCUCUUGAAGAGAAUCUCCUUGGCCACACCCUGUUUUAAAAAUAAACCAAGACGUAGCUUCAGGGCCCCAGUCAGUUGGUCAUGAAGACGUCAUUUCCAUGAUUUCAUUUCUGAUUCACGGAUGGAACUUGCUUGUCAGUGUUGUGCAG